CAAGAUGGCGGCAUCCAGAUCCUUGAAGCCCACCUCCACCUUGUCGGUGGGGAUGACCUCUGUGGAUGAAGAAAGGGGGUGGGGUAACGGCUCAUCUGGGUGUACAUGAAGAUUAGAGAAGGACAAACAGUCUCUGUGUGGAAAAUGCCCUUAGGAUGAACUUCAGUCAGGGCUCAUUGGUGUACGAGAUGUCUUGUACCCCACCUCCCCUAUUGUUGCCCCACCACUCCCAGGAUUGGUUGGAAUUUCAUACAGGCCCUUGGGAACCGACUAAUAGGAGGCCUCUUUUCUGACACUCCUUCCACCAGCAGUCUGUUGUGGACCGUCCCUGCUGCUGUGAAGUUAGGGCUAUUGGAAAAGUACCGCAGCAGCAGGGAGGUACAAACAGAUAUAGAGUCCAUACACACACAAUGCAUUUUAAAUAUGUUUCAGAUGGGGGAGGACACAAUGUAAAUCAUGCCAAAAAGCAUGCCUAUGUAUGUUCUCACGACCAGCCCAGGCAGAAUAGAAAAGCAUUGCUCACCCCUCA